UUCGCUUACUGCUAUUAAAAAUGAGUUUGUAAUCUUGGUUACUAGAUAAUAGCAUUUAUUAAACGCUAAGAUAAAAAUUCCCUAAGCGGGAAUCUAAAAUCACCUAGUCCGCCAACACUUAACCAAAUUAUUCACUUAAGCGGCAAAAUAAUAGCUUUUUAUCGAAAAACUUCUUAGAUCUAAAAUAAUUUCUCUUUUUCUUAAAAAAACCUCUGAGAUCUAAAAAUCUCAUACCCACGAACUGAAUCUCGUCCUAGCCAGAGCAAUUGUCCCUUCCCUUGCUCUAUCCCUCUCUCGUCCUCCCUCUCUGUCAUUUUUUUGUGUCUAAAAACUUUGGCGGUUGUACGCAGACCAUGUGUUUGAUGAAAUUACUGCGACGGCGCUGUGGUUGGAUUUUGAAAGGGGAACUAUGGGUCAGAUCUUCAGUUUUCAUCAGAUCGUUAGCUAAAACGCCGUUUGUUGUCUCCCUCGUUCGUGCGUUCAAUUUUCUUCUCAGAUCUUCACAUCGUUUUGGCUUCAUCUCUAAACGUUGGGUCUGUGAAGCCUGGAGAUUCGACUAGUUCUCCCGAGAAUCAAUUUCAAGUAGCUCAAUCCAGUCCUCUUUCUCAAGUUGUUUUAUGAAUUAAACUUAUUCGUUUAUGAGAAGGAAGCUAAGGCGAUGCUAAAGAUAGAAAAUUUGAGGGUCUUGAAACAUAUUUUAAAGGCCAACGAAGAAAGGAGUGAAGGUCGCUGCCAAGAAAAAGAUGGUAUGACCUAGAUGAUUUGUUUUUUUUUUUUCUAAUUUGUAGUAAGUUUUCGAACAUUCAAUUAUUGUGUGUUUCUAUUUUAAAUGUUGAGUUUUUUUUUUCCUGUGCUUUGCUUGAUUUUGAUGCAAACUUGAUAUUUCGAUUAACACUUUUCUGGAUGUGAAGGAGUUCGAUAAGAGAGCAAGUUUUGGCUUCAUUGUUGCCGAAUUCAACAGGGACUUGUUAUUUUUCAGUCUCAGGAGAAGCUAAUUUGAAUGUAACUAUAUCCUUUGACAAGUUUAUGCUCUAACUAGCUAGUGUGCAGUUUUUUUUUUUUUUUACUUAAUUAAACUCCUAACUAGGUACAGAGUGCAAAAAUAUAUUUCUUUUCUUGACCAACCAUAAUAUUUACUUUGCAGGAGCAUCGAGCAGAGUUGGAAAACUAGACCAACCAUAAUUUUUGUUGAAUUAUCAAUCUCAGGCCAUGAAAGGUUCUUUCUAUGACUUCUAAGUAUCUCUAAAAACGUUUGUUGAUGCUUCCGAAGAGUUAAAGCUCUUAGAUGAUAAUGGAGAGCUUGGAAAUAAACUCAUUGUCUGUCAUUUAUAUACUACUUUCUAAGUUUGAGUUUAAUUUUCCUAAAGGUCUUGGUUUUGCUCAUUUAUGUUUGUUUAGUACAUACAAGUGAGAAGGAAGGUGUUUAGGAGAAGGAGCUUGCAUGUGGCUGCAGGAGCUUAAGUGCCUAUGGACGGGAGUUCUAAUAGGAACAAUUGAUGAGGAGGUGAAAUAGAUAGAGGGGAAGAAAUUGAAGAGAUUGAAGUUUGUCUCUUUCCUUAUGAUGUUAGUAUAAGACUUGGUGUUAUGUAAGACUUGUUUGACUAAUUAGUUAAUGUAAUAUUAUUUGUUGAUGAUUUAUAAAAUAGAAAAGUUAUAUAUAUGUCCAAUUAAGUAA